AACGUAGGCGGUGUUCCAUGUCAGAGGUGAAAGCCUGGGGCUCAACUCCAGAAUUGCCUUUGAAACGGGGACGCUUGAGUCCGAGAGAGGAUGGCGGAAUUCCUAGUGUAGAGGUGAAAUUCGUAGAUAUUAGGAAGAACACCAGUGGCGAAGGCGGCCAUCUGGCUCGGUACUGACGCUCAGGUUCGAAAGCGUGGGGAGCAAACAGGAUUAGAUACCCUGGUAGUCCACGCCGUAAACGAUGAGUGCUAGUUGUUGGGAAGUUUACUUCUCAGUGACGCAGCUAACGCGAUAAGCACUCCGCCUGGGGAGUACGGCCGCAAGGUUAAA
rnacentral:rRNA from 1 species